rnacentral:rRNA from 1 species
AGAGUUUGAUCAUGGCUCAGAACGAACGCUGGCGGCGUGCCUAACACAUGCAAGUCGAACGUGAAAGUCCUUCGGGAUGAGUAAAGUGGCGCACGGGUGAGUAAUCCAUUGGAACGUGCCUUUAAGCGGGGGAUAACAACGGGAAACCGUUGCUAAUACCGAAUAUGCUCUUCGGAGUAAAGGUGGCCUCUACUUGUAAGCUAUCGCUUAAAGAGCGGCCUAUGUCCCAUUAGCUAGUUGGUGAGGUAACGGCUCACCAAGGCUACGAUGGGUAGCUGGUCUGAGAGGACGAUCAGCCACACUGGAACUGAGACACGGUCCAGACGCCUACGGGAGGCAGCAGUGGGGAAUCUUGGGCAAUGGGGGCAACCCUGACCCAGCAACGCCGCGUGAGUGAAGAAGGCCUUUGGGUUGUAAAGCUCUUUCGAAGAGUUAGUAGGGUGGGCGUGUGAAUAACACGUUCAUUUGACGGAUCUGAGAAGAAGCACCGGCUAACUCCGUGCCAGCCGCCGCGGUAAUAC